AGAGUUUGAUCCUGGCUCAGAACGAACGUUAGCGGUGUGGAUUAGGCAUGCAAGUCGUGCGCGAAAGCCUUCGGGUGAGUAAAGCGGCGAAAGGGUGAGUAACACGUAAUCAACCUACCCCCCUGAUCGGGAUAACUGCUGGAAACGGCAGGUAAUACCGGAUGGUCCCACCGGGAGGCAUCUCCUGGUGGGUAAACGGCUUCGGCUGUAGGGGGAGGGGGUUGCGGCCUAUCAGCUUGUUGGUGGGGUAAUGGCCUACCAAGGCGAUGACGGGUAGCCGGUCUGAGAGGAUGGUCGGUCACACUGGGACUGAGACACUGCCCAGACUCCUACGGGAGGCUGCAGUCGAGAAUCUUCCGCAAUGGGCGAAAGCCUGACGGAGCGACACCGCGUGUAGGAUGAAGGCCCUAGGGUUGUAAACUACUGUCACGCAAUAGGAAAUCCCUUCGGGGUUGACCAAAGCGAGAGGAAGCACCGGCUAACUCCGUGCCAGCAGCCGCGGUAAGACGGAGGGUGCAAACGUUGUUCGGAAUCAUUGGGCAUAAAGGGCACGCAGGCGGCCCAGUCAGUCAGUUGUGAAAUCCCACGGCUCAAUCGUGGAACUGCAUCUGAUACUGCUGGGCUAGAGGCUGGUUGGGGUGAGUGGAACUCCUGGUGGAGCGGUGAAAUGCGUAGAUAUCAGGAGGAACACCAGUGGCGAAAGCGGCUCACUGGACCAGCUCUGACGCUCAGGUGCGAAAGCUAGGGUAGCGAACGGGAUUAGAUACCCCGGUAGUCCUAGCCGUAAACGAUGGGUACUAGGUAGGGGGAACGCCUAUGGUUUUCCCUACCGCAGCAAAUGUGUUAAGUACCCCGCCUGGGGAGUACGCUCGCAAGAGUAAAACUCAAAGGAAUUGACGGGGGAUCACACAAGCGGUGGAGCAUGUGGUUUAAUUCGAAGCAACGCGAAGAACCUUACCUGGCCUUGACAUGCACGGAUUAAUCCUGUGAAAGCAGGAGGACAGCCCUUCGGGGUCGGAACGUGCACAGGUGUUGCAUGGCUGUCGUCAGCUCGUGUCGUGAGAUGUUGGGUUAAGUCCCGUAACGAGCGAAACCCUUAUUGUUAGUUGCCAGCGGGUAAUGCCGGGGACUCUAGCGAGACUGCCGUUGUCAAAACGGAGGAAGGUGGGGACGACGUCAAGUCAUCAUGGCCCUUAUGGCCAGGGCGACACACGUGCUACAAUGGUCUGUACAAAGGGUCCCAAGACCGCAAGGUGGAGGUAAUCCCAUAAAGCAGGCCCCAGUUCGGAUUGCAGGCUGAAAUUCGCCUGCAUGAAGUUGGAAUCGCUAGUAAUCGCGUAUCAGCCAUGACGCGGUGAAUAUGUUCCUGAUCCUUGUACACACCGCCCGU
rnacentral:rRNA from 1 species